rnacentral:rRNA from 1 species
CCUACGGGUGACAGCAGUGAGGAAUAUUGGUCAAUGGGCGCGAGCCUGAACCAGCCAAGUAGCGUGAAGGAUGACUGCCCUACGGGUUGUAAACUUCUUUUAUAAAGGAAUAAAGUGUGGCACGUGUGCCCUUUUGUCUGUACCUUAUGAAUAAGGAUCGGCUAACUCCGUGCCAGCAGCCGCGGUAAUCCGGAGGAUCCGAGCGUUAUCCGGAUUUAUUGGGUUUAAAGGGAGCGUAGAUGGGUUGUUAAGUCAGCUGUGAAAGUUUGGGGCUCAACCGUAGAAUUGCAGUUGAAACUGGCAGCCGUGAGUGCAGUAGAGGUAGGCGGAAUGCGUGGUGUAGCGGUGAAAUGCAUAGAUAUCACGAAGAACUCCGAUUGCGAAGGCAGCUUACUAGACUGCAACUGACGUUGAUGCACGAAAGUGUGGGUAUCAAACAGGAUUAGAUACCCGGGUAGUC